AUUGAACGCUGGCGGAAUGCUUUACACAUGCAAGUCGAGCGGCAGCGCGGGGGCAACCCUGGCGGCGAGCGGCGAACGGGUGAGUAACGCAUCGGAACGUACCUUGUAGUGGGGGAUAACUAUCCGAAAGGAUAGCUAAUACCGCAUACGCCCUGAGGGGGAAAGGGGGGGAUCGCAAGACCUCUCGCUACAGGAGCGGCCGAUGUCCGAUUAGCUAGUUGGUGAGGUAAAGGCUCACCAAGGCGACGAUCGGUAGCUGGUCUGAGAGGAUGAUCAGCCACACUGGGACUGAGACACGGCCCAGACUCCUACGGGAGGCAGCAGUGGGGAAUUUUGGACAAAUGGGCGCAAGCCUGAUCCAGCCAUGCCGCGUGCAGGAUGAAGGCC
rnacentral:rRNA from 1 species